rnacentral:rRNA from 1 species
UCAAGUGAAGAAGCGCAUACGGUGGAUGCCUUGGCAGUCAGAGGCGAUGAAAGACGUGGUAGCCUGCGAAAAGCUUCGGGGAGUCGGCAAACAGACUGUGAUCCGGAGAUGUCUGAAUGGGGGAACCCAGCCAUCAUAAGAUGGUUAUCUUGUACUGAAUACAUAGGUGCAAGAGGCGAACCAGGGGAACUGAAACAUCUAAGUACCCUGAGGAAAAGAAAUCAACCGAGAUUCCCUUAGUAGUGGCGAGCGAACGGGGACCAGCCCUUAAGUUGUAUUGAGAUUAGCGGAACGUUCUGGAAAGGACGGCCAUAGUGGGUGAUAGCCCUGUACGCGAAAAUCCCUUUGCAAUGAAAUCGAGUAGGACGGGGCACGAGAAACCUUGUCUGAAUAUGGGGGGACCAUCCUCCAAGGCUAAAUACUACUGACUGACCGAUAGUGAACCAGUACCGUGAGGGAAAGGCGAAAAGAACCGCGGAGAGCGGAGUGAAAUAGAUCCUGAAACCGUAUGCGUACAAGCAGUGGGAGCCCACUUUGUUGGGUGACUGCGUACCUUUUGUAUAAUGGGUCAGCGACUUAUUUUCAGUGGCGAGCUUAACCGAAUAGGGGAGGCGUAGCGAAAGCGAGUCUUAAUAGGGCGUCUAGUCGCUGGGAAUAGACCCGAAACCGGGCGAUCUAUCCAUGGGCAGGUUGAAGGUUGGGUAACACUAACUGGAGGACCGAACCGACUACCGUUGAAAAGUUAGCGGAUGACCUGUGGAUCGGAGUGAAAGGCUAAUCAAGCUCGGAGAUAGCUGGUUCUCCUCGAAAGCUAUUUAGGUAGCGCCUCAUGUAUCACUGUAGGGGGUAGAGCACUGUUUCGGCUAGGGGGUCAUCCCGACUUACCAAACCGAUGCAAACUCCGAAUACCUACAAGUGCCGAGCAUGGGAGACACACGGCGGGUGCUAACGUCCGUCGUGAAAAGGGAAACAACCCAGACCGUCAGCUAAGGUCCCAAAGUCAUGGUUAAGUGGGAAACGAUGUGGGAAGGCUUAGACAGCUAGGAGGUUGGCUUAGAAGCAGCCACCCUUUAAAGAAAGCGUAAUAGCUCACUAGUCGAGUCGGCCUGCGCGGAAGAUGUAACGGGGCUCAAACCAUGCACCGAAGCUACGGGUAUCAUCUUUUGAUGAUGCGGUAGAGGAGCGUUCUGUAAGCCUGUGAAGGUGAGUUGAGAAGCUUGCUGGAGGUAUCAGAAGUGCGAAUGCUGACAUGAGUAACGACAAUGGGUGUGAAAAACACCCACGCCGAAAGACCAAGGUUUCCUGCGCAACGUUAAUCGACGCAGGGUUAGUCGGUCCCUAAGGCGAGGCUGAAAAGCGUAGUCGAUGGAAAACAGGUUAAUAUUCCUGUACUUCUGGUUAUUGCGAUGGAGGGACGGAGAAGGCUAGGCCAGCCUGGCGUUGGUUGUCCAGGUUUAAGGUGGUAGGCUGAGAUCUUAGGUAAAUCCGGGAUCUUAAGGCCGAGAGCUGAUGACGAGUGUUCUUUUAGAACACGAAGUGGUUGAUGCCAUGCUUCCAAGAAAAGCUUCUAAGCUUCAGGUAACCAGGAACCGUACCCCAAACCGACACAGGUGGUUGGGUAGAGAAUACCAAGGCGCUUGAGAGAACUCGGGUGAAGGAACUAGGCAAAAUGGCACCGUAACUUCGGGAGAAGGUGCGCCGGUGGAGGUGAAGCAUUUACUGCGUAAGCCCCUGCCGGUCGAAGAUACCAGGCCGCUGCGACUGUUUAUUAAAAACACAGCACUCUGCAAACACGAAAGUGGACGUAUAGGGUGUGACGCCUGCCCGGUGCCGGAAGGUUAAUUGAUGGGGUUAGCGCAAGCGAAGCUCUUGAUCGAAGCCCCGGUAAACGGCGGCCGUAACUAUAACGGUCCUAAGGUAGCGAAAUUCCUUGUCGGGUAAGUUCCGACCUGCACGAAUGGCGUAACGAUGGCGGCGCUGUCUCCACCCGAGACUCAGUGAAAUUGAAAUCGCUGUGAAGAUGCAGUGUAUCCGCGGCUAGACGGAAAGACCCCGUGAACCUUUACUAUAGCUUUGCACUGGACUUUGAAUUUGCUUGUGUAGGAUAGGUGGGAGGCUUUGAAGCGUGGACGCCAGUCUGCGUGGAGCCAACCUUGAAAUACCACCCUGGCAACUUUGAGGUUCUAACUCAGGUCCGUUAUCCGGAUCGAGGACAGUGUAUGGUGGGUAGUUUGACUGGGGCGGUCUCCUCCUAAAGAGUAACGGAGGAGUACGAAGGUGCGCUCAGACCGGUCGGAAAUCGGUCGUAGAGUAUAAAGGCAAAAGCGCGCUUGACUGCGAGACAGACACGUCGAGCAGGUACGAAAGUAGGUCUUAGUGAUCCGGUGGUUCUGUAUGGAAGGGCCAUCGCUCAACGGAUAAAAGGUACUCCGGGGAUAACAGGCUGAUACCGCCCAAGAGUUCAUAUCGACGGCGGUGUUUGGCACCUCGAUGUCGGCUCAUCACAUCCUGGGGCUGAAGCCGGUCCCAAGGGUAUGGCUGUUCGCCAUUUAAAGUGGUACGCGAGCUGGGUUUAGAACGUCGUGAGACAGUUCGGUCCCUAUCUGCCGUGGACGUUUGAGAUUUGAGAGGGGCUGCUCCUAGUACGAGAGGACCGGAGUGGACGAACCUCUGGUGUUCCGGUUGUCACGCCAGUGGCAUUGCCGGGUAGCUAUGUUCGGAAAAGAUAACCGCUGAAAGCAUCUAAGCGGGAAACUUGCCUCAAGAUGAGAUCUCACUGGAACCUUGAGUUCCCUAAAGGGCCGUCGAAGACUACGACGUUGAUAGGUUGGGUGUGUAAGCGCUGUGAGGCGUUGAGCUAACCAAUACUAAUUGCCCGUGAGGCUUGACCAU